CAAUGUUUCUUCACAUGUGUGCUGCUGGCGAAGACUUCUAUGAAAUCUGUAUUCUUCACACGAAAUUUGCAUAGGUAAAAAGGAAAACUUGUUGCUGCCGGGAUUCUCCAGCAAGGUGGGCGGUGGAGGUGAUAUGCCAUUGGGUUAAAGGAGUUAUCCACAGCAGUUGUUGUUCAUGUCUCGCUAUUGUGUUGCUUGCUUUUGUUUGUGUCAGUGGAAGAAGAGUUUUGUAGGUG
rnacentral:lncRNA from 7 species